rnacentral:rRNA from 1 species
GACGAACGCUGGCGGCGUGCUUAACACAUGCAAGUCGAACGGAAAGGCCCUGCUUUUGUGGGGUGCUCGAGUGGCGAACGGGUGAGUAACACGUGAGUAACCUGCCCUUGACUUUGGGAUAACUUCAGGAAACUGGGGCUAAUACCGGAUAGGAGCUCCUGCUGCAUGGUGGGGGUUGGAAAGUUUCGGCGGUUGGGGAUGGACUCGCGGCUUAUCAGCUUGUUGGUGGGGUAGUGGCUCACCAAGGCUUUGACGGGUAGCCGGCCUGAGAGGGUGACCGGCCACAUUGGGACUGAGAUACGGCCCAGACUCCUACGGGAGGCAGCAGUGGGGAAUAUUGCACAAUGGGCGGAAGCCUGAUGCAGCAACGCCGCGUGCGAGAUGACGGCCUUCGGGUUGUAAACCGCUUUCGCCUGUGACGAAGCGUGAGUGACGGUAAUGGGUAAAGAAGCACCGGCUAACUACGUGCCAGCAGCCGCGGUGAUACGUAGGGUGCGAGCGUUGUCCGGAUUUAUUGGGCGUAAAGGGCUCGUAGGUGGUUGAUCGCGUCGGAAGUGUAAUCUUGGGGCUUAACCCUGAGCGUGCUUUCGAUACGGGUUGACUUGAGGAAGGUAGGGGAGAAUGGAAUUCCUGGUGGAGCGGUGGAAUGCGCAGAUAUCAGGAGGAACACCAGUGGCGAAGGCGGUUCUCUGGGCCUUUCCUGACGCUGAGGAGCGAAAGCGUGGGGAGCGAACAGGCUUAGAUACCCUGGUAGUCCACGCUGUAAACGGUGGGUACUAGGUGUGGGGUCCAUUCCACGGGUUCCGUGCCGUAGCUAACGCUUUAAGUACCCCGCCUGGGGAGUACGGCCGCAAGGCUAAAACUCAAAGGAAUUGACGGGGCCCCGCACAAGCGGCGGAGCAUGCGGAUUAAUUCGAUGCAACGCGUAGAACCUUACCUGGGUUUGACAUGGAUCGGGAGUGCUCAGAGAUGGGUGUGCCUCUUUUGGGGUCGGUUCACAGGUGGUGCAUGCCUGUCGUCAGCUCGUGUCGUGAGAUGUUGGGUUAAGUCCCGCAACGAGCGCAACCCUUGUUCACUGUUGCCAGCACGUUAUGGUGGGGACUCAGUGGAGACCGCCGGGGUCAACUCGGAGGAAGGUGGGGAUGACGUCAAGUCAUCAUGCCCCUUAUGUCCAGGGCUUCACGCAUGCUACAAUGGCUGGUACAGAGAGUGGCGAGCCUGUGAGGGUGAGCGAAUCUCGGAAAGCCGGUCUCAGUUCGGAUUGGGGUCUGCAACUCGACCUCAUGAAGUCGGAGUCGCUAGUAAUCGCAGAUCAGCAACGCUGCGGUGAAUACGUUCCCGGG